rnacentral:rRNA from 1 species
UACGAAGGGUGCAAGCGUUAAUCGGAAUUACUGGGCGUAAAGGGUGCGUAGGCGGUUGUUUAAGUCUGUCGUGAAAUCCCCGGGCUCAACCUGGGAAUUGCAGUGGAUACUGGCAGGCUGGAGUAUGGUAGAGGAAGGUGGAAUUCCCGGUGUAGCAGUGAAAUGCGUAGAGAUCGGGAGGAACACCAGUGGCGAAGGCGGCCUUCUGGACCAAUACUGACGCUCAUGCACGAAAGCGUGGGGAGCAAACAGG